UGCCGGGGUUUCCCCAGGGUAACGUCAGCAGCUUUCCUGUGGCUGCUCAGGCGAACUUUGACCACAAAGAGGGCGCUGGAGCAGACGGCCGCUACUCGGCGGUGUCUGUCCUCACCGCCCACCAGCUGCUGGACCGAAACUGAGGUUCUGUGACCCCGUUAGGGUUUUGGCAGCUGUGCCGAGGGCAGCCUGCCCUGCGGCCGCCGCGGCACACAGAGCGGCGCAGGGUCGGACCGCGGAGCUGGGCAGCGCCGGGAUGGGGCUGUGCGGGCUGCCUGGCCCUGGGCGCACAGCAGAGCUCUUCCUCUGUCUCACGGUUUUACACAUUGCCUCUUCAUUCCUCAUGCUGGAUUUAAGCCCUGUGAGUGGAGCUGAAACCCCAGGUGGCAACGUGACACUUUCCAGCCCUUAAAUUGCCUUUCUGAGGGGAACUCCCAGGAACAAACAGCAUUUCUUCAAGACAAACGAAUAUCCACAGAAUCAAUGGAGCAGGAAGAGGAGAACUUCGAGAUGUCAUCCAGAGUCACCAAACGAUGGCAGAGGCAAUCCUGUGCUUCCCAGGGCUGGUGUUGGCUUUGCCUCAUUGGUUUGGACCAGGAUCCAGCUGCCCAAAAGUCUGGUUGAUGUUUUGUGGAGGAGGCCACAACUCCCCUGACUUUAAAUCUUUCAUGCUGUCACUUAGCCUGUUCCCUCCUGUCCCCUGUGAGAGUCAGCUGGAAAAAUACUGAUCCAGACUCCUACCCGGUUUCAGCUUAGCGCUGGCUUUCCAGGUGAGGGCUGCUCCCUGCAGCAAGGACAGCACCGCUGUCUUCUGCUACACAGCAGGGACGGCCAGAAAACUUGAUACAGGAUGAAUUUGCAACUCCAUGACUUCAAGCCAAGAAACUGGUUCCCUGUAACUAAAACUGUGCACAAUAAAGUGAAUUAUGUAUU